rnacentral:rRNA from 1 species
CAGUCGCCGCGGUAAUACGUAGGUCCCGAGCGUUGUCCGGAUUUAUUGGGCGUAAAGCGAGCGCAGGCGGUUAGAUAAGUCUGAAGUUAAAGGCUGUGGCUUAACCAUAGUACGCUUUGGAAACUGUUUAACUUGAGUGCAAGAGGGGAGAGUGGAAUUCCAUGUGUAGCGGUGAAAUGCGUAGAUAUAUGGAGGAACACCGGUGGCGAAAGCGGCUCUCUGGCUUGUAACUGACGCUGAGGCUCGAAAGCGUGGGGAGCAAACAGGAUUAGAGACCCCUGUAGUCCCUGUCUCUUAUACA